rnacentral:rRNA from 1 species
GGAAUCUUGCGCAAUGGGCGAAAGCCUGACGCAGCAACGCCGCGUGCGGGAAGAAGGCUUUCGGGCUGUAAACCGCUUUCAGUAGGAACGAAACUGACGGUACCUACAGAAGAAGGAGCGGCCAACUAUGUGCCAGCAGCCGCGGUGACACAUAGGCUCCAAGCGUUGUCCGGAUUUAUUGGGCGUAAAGAGCUCGUAGGCGGUUGAGUAAGUCGGGUGUGAAAACUUUGGGCUUAACCCAAAGAUGCCACUCGAUACUGCUUUGACUUGAGUUCGGUAGGGGAGUGGGGAAUUCCUUGUGUAGCGGUGAAAUGCGCAGAUAUGAGGAGGAACAUCGGUGGCGAAGGCGCCACUCUGGGCCGAUACUGACGCUGAGGAGCGAAAGCGCGGGGAGCAAACAGGAUUAGAUACCCUGGUAGUCCACGCGGUAAACGGUGGUCACUAGGUGUGGGUCUCUUCAAACGAGAUCUGCGCCGUCGCUAACGCAUUAAGUGACCCGCCUGGGGAGUACGGUCGCAAGACUAAAACUCAAAUGAAUUGACGG